rnacentral:rRNA from 1 species
GACGUAGGGCGCGAGCGUUGUCCGGAUUUAUUGGGCGUAAAGAGCUCGUAGGCGGCUUGUCGCGUCGACUGUGAAAACCCACGGCUUAACUGUGGGCUUGCAGUCGAUACGGGCAGGCUAGAGUUCGGUAGGGGAGACUGGAAUUCCUGGUGUAGCGGUGAAAUGCGCAGAUAUCAGGAGGAACACCGGUGGCGAAGGCGGGUCUCUGGGCCGUAACUGACGCUGAGGAGCGAAAGCGUGGGGAGCGAACAGG